rnacentral:tRNA from 1 species
AAUAUAAUAGUAUAUAGUACAUUUAAUUUCCAAUUAAAAGGUGAUUCUCAUUUUUAUUG